UCCGCGAUAGCUCAAUGGUGGAGCACUCGGCUGUUAACCGAUAGGUUGAAGGUUCAAGUCCUUUUCGCGGAGCCA
rnacentral:tRNA from 1 species